AUGAUCCGGGACUCCAAGCACCACUACGGGUGGCGCACCCAGAGCGACGGCGACGGCAUGUCCAUCCUCUCCUCCAGCAACGUGUGGAUCGACUACGUGUCCAUGUCCAGCUGCGCCGACGGCCUCAUCGACGUGGUCAGCGGCUCCACCGCCGUCACCAUCUCCAACAGCCACUUCACCAAGCACGACCACGUGAUGCUGUUCGGCGCCAGCAACGCGGAGGAGCAGGACAGGAUGAUGCAGGUCACCGUGGCGUUCAACCACUUCGGCAAGGGGCUGGUGCAGCGGAUGCCGCGCUGCCGCUUCGGCUUCUUCCACGUGGUGAAGAACGACUACACGCACUGGCAGAUGUACGCCAUCGGCGGCAACCGGAGCCCCACCAUCAUCAGCCAGGGGAAUCGGUUCAUGGCGCCCGACGACGGCAACGCCAAGGAGGUGACCAAGCGGGAGUACGCACCCUACACCGAGUACAAGGACUGGGUGUGGAAGUCGCAGGGGGACGUGAUGAUGAACGGGGCCUUCUUCAACGAGUCCGGCGGCCAGAACGAGCGCGCGUACGGCAAGAUGGACCUCAUCCCGGCCAAGCACGGCAAGUAUGUCGGGCAGCUCACGCAGCUUGCCGGCACUCUCGACUGCCACGUCGGCAAGCCAUGCUAUUAA
rnacentral:rRNA from 1 species